CCUACGGGAGGCAGCAGUGAGGAAUAUUGGACAAUGGGCGCAAGCCUGAUCCAGCCAUGCCGCGUGCAGGAAGAAGCAUCUAUGGUGUGUAAACUGCUUUUGUACAGGAAGAAACACUCCCUCGUGAGGGAGCUUGACGGUACUGUAAGAAUAAGGACCGGCUAACUCCGUGCCAGCAGCCGCGGUAAUACGGAGGGUCCGAGCGUUAUCCGGAAUCAUUGGGUUUAAAGGGUCCGUAGGCGGUUUAAUAAGUCAGUGGUGAAAUCUGGUCGCUCAACGAUCAAACGGCCAUUGAUACUGUUAGACUUGAAUUAUAAGGAAGUAACUAGAAUAUGUAGUGUAGCGGUGAAAUGCUUAGAUAUUACAUGGAAUACCAAUUGCGAAGGCAGGUUACUACUUAUGGAUUGACGCUGAUGGACGAAAGCGUGGGGAGCGAACAGGAUUAGAUACCCUGGUAGUCCACGCCGUAAACGAUGGAUACUAGCUGUUCGGAGCAAUCUGNGUGNGUAGACGAAGUAGAGUAAGUAGUACCACCGUCGGGAGGUAACGGUUCGUCGAAGAAGUAGAACGUUACGAAGAAGUUAGACGGCGNGAGACGNGCGACGGACGACGACGAGGGAGGAGG
rnacentral:rRNA from 1 species